GGGGCAUGGUGAUCUAAUUUUUAGACAUAAUCUGAUCAUGUUUUGAUGAGAGAAGAAGAAGAAAAGAAGGUCUUCUCUUAAGGUUUAUUUUAGAACCCUUCUUCUCCAUCAAUCAUGAGAUUUUUCUAUGAAAAAAUUUAGAAAUCAUAAGAUUUAGAAGUUUGAAAAAUAUCUAUAGAAGAAGGUCUCCUUAUGUCCUAGCAUAGAGAUGUUCUCAAGACA
rnacentral:lncRNA from 1 species